rnacentral:rRNA from 1 species
UACGAGGGGAGCAAGCGUUGUUCGGAUUUACUGGGCGUAAAGGGCGCGUAGGCGGCCACAACAAGUCACUUGUGAAAUCUCCGGGCUUAACUCGGAACGGUCAAGUGAUACUGUCGGGCUAGAGUACAGAAGGGGCAACUGGAAUUCUCGGUGUAGCGGUGAAAUGCGUAGAUAUCGAGAGGAACACCUGCGGCGAAGGCGGGUUGCUGGGCUGAUACUGACGCUGAUGCGCGAAAGCCAGGGGAGCGAACGGG